ensembl:snRNA U6 U6 spliceosomal RNA
GUACUCACUUCGGCAGCACAUGUACUAAAAUUAGAAUGAUACAGAGAAGAUUAGCGUGGCCCCUGUGUAACGAUGACACACAAAUUCGUGAAGCAUUCCAUAUUUUU